GCAACUGCCUCUGCAACUGUGAGGAAGAUCUUGUUCUCACCAAUCAUGUUUGCAAGCUUUGAUGUGUAAAUCUUGUCAAUCACCACUGGGCCAGGAUUUGCCAGAACAAGCUGUGUCCAAACAAAGAAAAAUUAAAGAAACUCCUUUUGUUGAUAGUCCUUCACAGAUGCAAAUGUUCUUCCAAUUGCUACAGCUUCCUGAUAGCGGAAAUGCAACGGUUUGAUUGGAAUAUGGAGGAAUAUAAACUUCUCAAGAGAGGUAUACAUUAAUGUCAAGAUUUAUUACUUACAGUUAGUGCUAUCAUGCCUGCCAUGACACCAAUUCUAAAACCUUUCCCAAGGUAGUCACCGGUGAAAUAUAUUUCUUUAACAGAUGAAGGAUUGAUCCCUUUUUUAAUGUCUCUAACCUUCACAUAUAAAUAGACACAUAUUUAGUUCUGCUGCAUUUAUAGUCAUUCUUGAUUCUGACUCCAAUCAUAUGAAUAACACAGGGUUCUAUCUAUUUUACUUACAA